rnacentral:lncRNA from 1 species
AUGUAUUAUGAAUGCCUUUGGUGAAUCAAAUCUAUUGUGUUUACCAAAUGUGGCAAAUGCAGAAAUAAUAAUCGUGGAUGAUCUCUGCUUUCAAGAGAAAGGACAUAUUUUUUAAAUGAUUUGUAGAAGGAAAGAAAACAAAUUUUAGAUAACUUCUGUUUCUACUGGUUAUUCUUAAAAAAUGGACAGUAUAAAAUAAGAAACUAAAUAUGAACAUAAGAAAUAUAGGGAAAUAUUUUUUUCUACUUUCUUGACCUCUUUUCUUUCACCCUUGUGAUUGAUUGUUGAAGUUCCACAUUAUGGAAGCUUGUAAGUUUGGAUAGAAUUGGAGAAAGAAAUAAUUAGAAAGCACCAAACUUCCCUUCUCCUCUGAUUUACCAGGCUGUGGUACCCACAAGUUGGGAAAGUGGAGAUAUUUUAAGGUGAAUGAGGUUUGGGACAUUGGUGUUGCAUUGAACUGGCCUCUUCAUUACCUGAAAGUCACUGGAGGGCUUUCUUGUUGCCCUAGAAUGACCAGAAGAGCUAUGGAACAUGCCCAAUAUUUUUUUCUGAGAAGAAUGAGCAAACUGCUGGAGAAAGUUUAAUAAGAACUGUUGAGAAAUAGUCAAAGAACUUCCUCCAGUCCCAACUGAGCCCAGGUCACUCAAAAAUCAGGUUACACAAAGUUAUACAACAUAUUUUUGGUGUAAUAAAUAGUUCUUGCAAAAUAUGAACAGGAAAAAAAUGUCUAACUUUUAUGUCAGGCUAUGAACUAAUACCAGGGACCACAGGGGAAAGAGAGAUAAGGACAAAUGUAUGCAUACCAGUGUGCAAUUGGUGAGAGUAUAUUACAGUGCCUGGCACAUUUCUGAUUCCCUUUCUUCCUCAGUAACAGAAUCACUUGUUUCUUUUGGGAACCCAUUUGGUGUGCUUCUAAUGGAGUUGACCCUUCUUUGGACCACUGUAUGAGUGAAGUACAUGGCCCUGACCUGGCCCCAGCCUACUAUUUCCUGAUUCAAUAUGGUUGGUUCAGAAGUGGGCACAUAUCCCAAACAGGGACAAUCUAAUUAAGUUGUUUUGUUUGUUUGUUUGUUUUGUUUUGUUUAUAGCAAUAGUUCCUCUUACUCAGUGUGCUAUUCUUGACCUUUAUAAUUAUAUGAACAAAUAAAUUAUUUUUAGUUUUCUUUUAAUGUGUGAUUAUUGUUGUCAAUGUUGCUAUGCUAUAUGUGUCACUAGCAAUCUUACUAAAUAAUAAAAACCUAGACACACACAACAUCCCUAAGAAAGUAUAUCAUAAUCUUGGGGAUGGAUGAGCUGGGAAGAGAAGAAACAUGUUAUUUGGAAAUUAAGCAUGGAUUUACAUAUGAACUUGGUUUUUAUUUUGGUAAUGAUAACUAAUUUGAUAUUUCACAUAACAGAAAAUAAAGACUAGAAGAAAGGUAAAAAAUCUUGCUAGAAACAAAAUCAAAUGACACAAAAUAUAAUUCAAGGUAAAAAACAAUUUAUAGGAUUGUAGAAAAUAUAGACACACAAUAGCAAUGAGACAGCAAAAAAAUCAAAGAACAGCAUCCUUAAACGAUAUUGUACACAGAUUUUAUGUGCCUUCAAGGAAAAAAAAUCAAUGUUAUUUAACAACUUCUAAAUUUUUUUCUACAAAUGCUUCCAACUUUAUUUACACUGCUAUUAUGAUCAUGAUAUUAAGAUUUGACAAAUAUAGAAAAAUAAAAUCACAAAUGAAUUUCCUGAAUAUAGAUGCAAAAUUCUUAAAGAAAAUCCUAAAAACUGAAAAUUAGCAAGAAAGUAAGUGAAGAAAAUAUGAUAAAUUGUGCUUCACUUCAGAAAUGCAAGGAGGGCAAAUAUUAUGAAAUUUAUAAAUAUCUUUCUCACACUAAAUCAUCAACAGGAAAAAUCAUACUGUUACCUCCUCGGUUGUCAAAACAGAUUUUAUUUUCAAAAAGUACAGUUUAUUGAAGUAUUAUUCAUCUACAAUACAACUUUGUGCAUUUGUUGAGUUUUGACAGAUUUAUUCAUGUUAUGGUUUGGAUGUGAGGUAUCCCCCAAAAGCUAUUAUAUGAGAUAAUGCAAGAAUAUUCAGAGGUGAAAUGAUUGGGUUAUGAGAGUCUUAACCUAAUCAGUAAAUAAAACCCUUGAUGGUAUUAACUGAGUGGUAACUGAAGGUGGGCUGUGCCUGGAGGAGGUAGGCAUGGGGAGCGUGAAUUGGGGGUAUAUAUUUUGUAUCUGGUGAGCGGAGUCUCUCUCUCUGCUUUCUGAUCAUCAUAUGAGCUGCUUCCCUCUGUCACUCUCUUCCCCCGUGAUGUUCAUCCUCUCUGGCCCCCAAGGAAUUGAAUCAGCCUUCUAUGAACUGAGACCUGUGAAACUGUGAGCCCUCAAACUUGUCUUCCUCUACAAUUGUUCUGGUCAGGUCUUUUAGUCACAGCAGUGAAAAAGCUGACUGAAACUCAUGUGAUCAUCACAACAAUGAAGAUGUAAAACUUUUCUAUUAUCCCCAAAACUAUCUUUCUGCCAUUAAAAGUUUCAUCAUGCUAACAUCCCCUUCCCUAAUAUAUCUAAUGUAGCCUUUUUG